ensembl:lncRNA
GUAUGUAUAGUGAGUAUGUGCUGCUGUUUCAUUGUUCUCUUCCCCUCUCAUUCCUACCCUCCCUCUUCGCUCUUUUCAGGUGCCACCGGCUCUCGACCGUGAGCUGACACUGAUGUGUGCUGUCACCUCUGCUGCACCUGGAGGUGGGACUGAAACGUAUUCGCACAGGACGGGAAAUCUCAGGCCUUUCGCAUGGUUUCCAUGGAUGAUUUCUAUCUGGACCCCGGUGGUUGUAUCUGGACCCUGGUCCUGCCCCCUGCUGACACCUGCUGCUGCUAUCGUUAUUAUUUCUCACAUCACCGUCCUCAUUAACGCACGUUUACCG